AGGAACCCAGAACCAGAUACGAAGGCAAACGCCUGCAGUACACAUUGCUCAAAAGCAAGCAGACACAAAGCUCCAGAUGUAUUGGGCGGCAGGAAAUGAGGAGGAUAAGGACGAGAAAACGAAGAGAGAAGGAACAGAGUGGUCAGAAUAAUUAUAACGUGCGCCGGUGCUGAAAUGAGGACGUUGAGAGAGAGAAAGAAAGAAAGGAGAGAGAGAGGAAGAGAGAGGAAGAGAGAGGACCGACAGCUAGACUGGCAACUCCAGUUUCUUUCACUGUCUGCUGGUGUGUUGCUGGUCUUGGCUCCAGUGCCACCCAGUGUUCAAGCGUGUGAGAAAUUGACAUCAGAAGGGCCUGAGUGAGUGAUUCCAUGGUGAUGGAAAAAGUCUCACAACCUACGAUUCACUGUUUGGAUUAAGCACAGAUAUUCCAUGAAUAUAAUGGAAUAUGAAAUCCAUGAUCAUGAUUGCCAAUGGACGGCGACUGUGUAAUACAAUAAGGUAUAAACAGUGACCUUCGCAUAUAUUUUUACCCCUAUUGCAGAGCUGUAAAAAUGCUUCAGAAGAAUUGUUUCAUUUUAAUUUCAUUUGCUGCAGCCUAAUUUAACACAGAAAUAUUUGCAACA